AUUGAACGCUGGCGGCAGGCCUAACACAUGCAAGUCGAACGAGUGGCGGACGGGUGAGUAAUGUCUGGGAAACUGCCUGAUGGAGGGGGAUAACUACUGGAAACGGUAGCUAAUACCGCAUACCAUCGGAUGUGCCCAGAUGGGAUUAGCUAGUAGGUGGGGUAAAGGCGCACCUAGGCGACGAUCCCUAGCUGGUCUGAGAGGAUGACCAGCCACACUGGAACUGAGCAACGGUCCAGACUCCGACGGGAGGAAGCAGUGGGGAAUAUUGCACAAUGGGCGAAAGCCUGAUGCAGCCAUGCCGCGUGAAUGAAGAAGGCCUUCGGGUUGUAAAGUACUUUCAGCGGGGAAGCGUUACCCGCAGAGGAAGCGACGGCUAACUCCGUGCCAGCAGCCGCGGUAAUUC
rnacentral:rRNA from 1 species